CUUUUAUUUUCUUUCCUCUUUAACAAAGCUUUCAAACUACUUUUCUCCCUUGUUUUCCUUCCUGAUAUCCAAACAAAAAGAGAAAGAUAACUUUUCCAUCGCUUUUAUUUUCUUUCCUCUUUAACAAAGCUUUCAAACUACUUUUCUCCCUUGUUUUCCUUCCUGAUAUCCAAACAAAAAGAGAAAGAUAACUUUUCCAUCGCUUUUAUUUUCUUUCCUCUUUAACAAAGCUUUCAAACUACUUUUCUCCCUUGUUUUCCUUCCUGAUAUCCAAACAAAAAGAGAAAGAUAACUUUUCCAUCG
rnacentral:misc_RNA from 1 species